AGUGAACGCUGGCGGUAGGCCUACCACAUGCAAGUCGAACGGCAGCACAGUAAGAGCUUGCUCUUACGGGUGGCGAGUGGCGGACGGGUGAUGAAUACAUCGGAAUCUACUUUUUCGUGGGGGAUAACGUAGGGCAACUUACGCUAAUACCGCAUACGACCUCCGGUUGAAAGCAGGGGAUCUUCGUACCUUGCGCGAUUGAAUGAGCCGAUGUCGGAUUAGCUAGUUGGCGGGGUAAAGGCCCACCAAGGCGACGAUCCGUAGCUGGUCUGAGAGGAUGAUCAGCCACACUGGAACGGAGACACGGUCCAGACUAUGACGGGAGGCAGCAGUGGGGAAUAUUAGACAAGGGACGCAAGCCUCAUCCAGCCAUACCGCGUGAGUGAAGAAAGCCUUCGGGUUGUAAAGCCCUUUUGUUGGGAAAGAAGAGCAACAGGAUAAUACCCCGAUGUUCUGACGGUACCCAAAGAAUAAGCACCGGCUAACUUCGUG
rnacentral:rRNA from 1 species